rnacentral:lncRNA from 1 species
CUUUCAGAACUUCUGUAAUAAGAUCUUCUAAUCCAAUGGUAUUAUUUUGCUCUGUAUGCAAAUAUUUCCUGAGCUUAGGGUAUUAACUUCAGAUAUUUCCAGUAUUUAUAGAAAUACUUGGUUCCUUUUAUUUGUAUUUUAGUACCACAAACCUGCCAUCUUCAGUAGUUCAUUUAAAUUUUUCCAGAUAAUCAGAGCUUAUACCCUUAUUAACCUGUUUGUUUUUGUUUUAAUCAUAUUUUGACUGUUGAAAUGUCCUAUAAUUCAUAUACAUAUAGAUUUUGUUUGUGUAUAUAUAACACACAUACAGAGACACAAGAAUGUAUAUUUUCCUGCCUUUAUCAAAGAAAUAUUUAUAAGUUAUUGAAUAGUGCUGGUAUUGUUAAACUUUAAAUGGUUGAGUUUCAGGACUUUGCCAUUCUGUAAGAAAAGAAUUUAAAAUGAACUUUGAUGGUUAUCAACUAUUUUUCACAUCUACAAUUUAAUUAUAUAGCUAUUGAUAAAGGCAUAAAGGAUGAAAUUAUUUUAAAAAGUAAAUUUAAGAAGAAAAAACUAGGCUUUCAUUUUUUAUACUGUAAUGGUUUUAACAUGCUAUAAAAACAGACAUGAGCAAAUAACACUCAUUUUAUAGAGCUGUUUUUUCAAAUUACGGAAGUAUUUACAGGUUUUAGAAAAUGGAUAUGUCAGGAAGUAAAAUGGAAA